AUCAACUUCAAGACCCAAACAGCUCUUGUGCGCACACUGAGGGUCUGAGAACAGCUACUGAAUCAAACGAGCUGCAAAGCAAUUCCUAAUGGGUUUGGUUCAAGUUUUGUUUUACUUAGACUUGCAAAAUGAGUAGAGAAAACUGACGUUGGGUGCUGUUUUGUUGCAGGAAAUGAGCUCCAUUGUGAAUGAAGUAAUCAGAUGACCCCUGUGCAGUCCGAACACAUACGUAUGUGUUUUUAAACAAGCAGGUGAAGGGGGAAGGUGGUCCCUGGAAUCCACCCCGUUGCUCUGCGGAGCGGAGAGGCUCGUUCUGUCCCGCAGCACUCUCCUGUUGCACCGAGCAGGACUUGAGCAGCUCAGCAUCCAGAUCACUUAAAGUCAUUUUAAGGACGGAACCAAGUUGUCCCUGGGGGGAGGAGAGGCAGCACGACCUGCCCCAGCGUUCGUUUCCCUUACAAAGCUAAAACCAACCACCCAGAAUCCCACUCACUGCCACUUGUGCCUUUCCUUGCUGAGAUUUCUGAAACCUUGCAUUUACUCACCUCAGCCUCACAAAUGCGUGUUUUCAAAAUGCUGCAACCUCACCUCCCUCCUCCAGCUCCAAUUUUGUUAUCACGGGAGAAGCACUCCUUAAAACAUGCUGCUGCUGCCGCAGGCUUACACCCUGAGCUCCUGCAGACUCACAGCAAGUCACGGCUGACUUCUUACUUACGGGAACACGGAGAGCCAUCGCCUACGUGUGUCCUGCCUAUGGAGAUGGCCAGAACACAAUACAGCACCUACUGCAGGAGGAGAGCUUUCCCCACAUGCCCUGUGGUCUCCCGGAGGGGUGUUUAACUGCCCCCGAAGGCGCUGGUGCUCGCCUCAGCCUGGAGGGCCGCCAGGACAGGGCUCAGCCCUGGCUUUGCUUCUGCCACCUCCCGGCCGUGGGUCAAGCUGACUUCCAUGAGCACAGGCUCAUAAAUAUUUCCGUGGCUUAUGCAGCUGCGGAUGUUUUCAAGCAAAUAUAUUUAUUAUGUCAAUAACAAUAAAAAAAAGAUGACUUAUUCAAUAAUUCAUAACGGCUGCGGGGCUGCUGGAGGCGAGCAUGGCUCACUUUACUUUAGAUAACUUAUAAAUGCAGAUAAUUUCCAUGACAGACUGAAAUUACUUUCUGAUGCAAGCAGACGCAUCCAGAAGCCGUUGGUGGAGGCAAUGCAGCAGGAGAGGAGGAAGAAGAGGAGGCAGCGCCGUGCUCUGAGGGCACACAGCUUCCCCCUCCAUCCCAAGGUCAACCACUGGGCUCACGGCACCCAGCUAUCGACCUACAGAUAUCCCAGCAGCUCCAGCAUUUCGGGGAGCUCUUUCACGAGAGCUUUAAUGCUUUUUGAUCCACUUAUGGGUGAGGUGCCUCAAAUAACACCUCCGUGCCGCCCAUCUCCGAUUUCCACCAACAGGUCAUCAGGCAAGCUGCUGGGAGAGGGAGGUCAUUACCCACCCAUGUCCCCGCUGGACGAGGAAUGGUGAGCAGGGCAACUGCACCCCAAACUGCUCCGGCACUCCCAGGGCCUCUGGAAAGAGCAUCGUAAGCAAGCAACUACACUGAAUGAUCUGCUUGCUGGCUUGGCAAGAAGACAUGCGUCCCUUCUGCAGGGCGCUUGCACAACUGUCAUCACAUCACGUGCCCGUCAGGCUGCAGCCAGCAGACAGAGCAGGUGCCUUAAUUUCCUGUUCUGAUUAUUUUUCUGAGUUUCCCAAGUAGAAACCAGAAGCAGAUUGCCGCUGCCAGCUGAGCUCUUCUCACCUUGGGCUGCAGCCUGCAGGCGUGCUGCUGACUGCACUGCCGACCGACCUCAGUUGACACCUCAGUUGCAGCCAGCAGUUGAGAAGAGGCACUGCAUCUGAUCCACCUGGAUUCAGGACAGCGCUCUCAGGCCAUUACAAUAAAACUAAAUAGUUUU
rnacentral:lncRNA from 7 species